GAGUUUGAUUAUGGCUCAGAACGAACGCUGACGGCGCGUCUUGAGCAUGCAAGUCGAACGGUAAGAGAGGAGCUUGCUCUUCUCCUAGAGUGGCGGACUGGUGAGUAACGCGUAGGUGACCUACCCUGAAGAUGGGGAUAGCUAGUAGAAAUAUUAGAUAAUACCGAAUAAGCUCAUAGACGUAAACGGAUAUGAGGAAAGGAGCUACGGCUCCGCUUUAGGAUGGGCCUGCGUCCCAUUAGCUAAGUUGGUGAGGUAAAGGCUCACCAAGGCGACGAUGGGUAUCCGGCCUGAGAGGGUGAACGGACACAUUGGGACUGAGAUACGGCCCAAACUCCUACGGGAGGCAGCAGCUAAGAAUCUUCCGCAAUGGACGAAAGUCUGACGGAGCGACGCCGUGUGAAUGAAGAAGGCCGAAAGGUUGUAAAGUUCUUUUGCAGAUGAAGAAUAAGGGCAAGAGGGAAUGCUUGUCU
rnacentral:rRNA from 1 species